GCUGGGUAUGGUGGCGCAUGCCUGUAAUCCCAGCACUUUGGAGGCUGAGGUCGGUGGAUCACUUGAGCCCAGGAGUUUGAAACCAGCCUGGGCAACAUGGUGAAACCCCAUCUUUA
ensembl:misc_RNA Metazoa_SRP Metazoan signal recognition particle RNA